UGCCCUAGUAACGGCGAGUGAAGCGGCAAUAGCUCAAAUUUGAAAUCUGGCUCCUUUUAGGGGUCCGAGUUGUAAUUUGCAGAGGGUGCUUUGGUGUUGGUGGCGGUCUAAGUUCCUUGGAACAGGACAUCGCAGAGGGUGAGAAUCCCGUUUGUGGUCGCCUACCUUCGCCGUGUAAAGCCCCUUCGACGAGUCGAGUUGUUUGGGAAUGCAGCUCUAAAUGGGAGGUAAAUUUCUUCUAAAGCUAAAUACUGGCCAGAGACCGAUAGCGCACAAGUAGAGUGAUCGAAAGAUGAAAAGCACUUUGGAAAGAGAGUCAAACAGCACGUGAAAUUGUUGAAAGGGAAGCGCUUGCAGCCAGACUUGCCCGUAGUUGCUCACCUAGGCUUUUGCCUGGGGCAUUCUUCUGCGGGCAGGCCAGCAUCAGUUUGGGCGGUCGGAUAAAGGUCUCUGUCACGUACCUUCCUUCGGGAAGGACUUAUAGGGGAGGCGAAAUGCGACCAGCCCGGACUGAGGUCCGCGCUUCGGCUAGGAUGCUGGCGUAAUGGCUGUAAGCGGCCCGUCUUGAAACACGGACCAAGGAGUCUAACAUCUAUGCGAGUGUUUGGGUGUCAAGCCCGAGCGCGUAAUGAAAGUGAACGGAGGUGGGAACCCUUUGGGUGCACCAUCGACCGAUCCUGAUGUCUUCGGAUGGAUUUGAGUAAGAGCAUAGCUGUUGGGACCCGAAAGAUGGUGAACUAUGCUUGAAUAGGGUGAAGCCAGAGGAAACUCUGGUGGAGGCUCGCAGCGGUUCUGACGUGCAAAUCGAUCGUCAAAUUUGGGCAUAGGGGCGAAAGACUAAUCGAACUAUCUAGUAGCUGGUUCCUGCCGA
rnacentral:rRNA from 1 species